UACGUAGGGUGCAAGCGUUGUCCGGAAUUAUUGGGCGUAAAGAGCUCGUAGGCGGUCUGUCGCGUCUGCUGUGAAAACUCAGGGCUUAACCCUGAGCUUGCAGUGGGUACGGGCAGACUAGAGUGCGGUAGGGGAGACUGGAAUUCCUGGUGUAGCGGUGAAAUGCGCAGAUAUCGGGAAGAACACCCGUGGCGAAGGCGGCUCUCUGGAACGCAACUGACGCUGAGACGCGAAAGCGUGGGGAGCAAACAGG
rnacentral:rRNA from 1 species